CCUACGGUUGGCAGCAGUGAGGAAUAUUGGUCAAUGGACGAGAGUCUGAACCAGCCAAGUAGCGUGAAGGAUGACGGCCCUAUGGGUUGUAAACUUCUUUUAUAGGGGAAUAAAAUGUGCCACGUGUGGGAUUUUGUAUGUACCAUAUGAAUAAGGAUCGGCUAACUCCGUGCCAGCAGCCGCGGUAAUACGGAGGAUCCGAGCGUUAUCCGGAUUUAGUGGGUUUAAAGGGAGCGUAGGUGGCUUGUUAAGUCCGUUGUGAAAGUUUGCGGCUCCACCGUAAAAUUGCAGUUGAAACUGGCAGUCUUGAGUACAGUAGCGGUGGGCGGACUUCGUGUUGUAGCGG
rnacentral:rRNA from 1 species